AUUCGCCUGUUUUACAAAAACAUUUCUUUUUGGAGUUUUAUAAAGUACAACCUGCCCACUGAUUUUUGAAGGGCCGCGGUAUUUUGACCGUGCUAAGGUAGCAUAAUCAUUAGUCUCUUAAUUAGGGAAUAGAAUGAAUGGUUAAACCUUUAAAAGUUUUUUUAAUUAUUUAAUUUGAAUUUUUAAUGAAAGUAAAAAUAUUUUUAAGCUUUAAGAAGACGAUAAGACCCUUUAGAGCUUAAUAUUUUUGGUAUAAGAGGCUAGCGGGGGUACGCCUCUUAUACCAAAAAUAUUUAAUUGGGGCAAUAAAAGAAUAAAUUUAACUUCUUAAAAAUAUUUAGUAGAUCUUGAAGUUUAAAAAUUAAAAAGUUACCUAAGGGAUAACAGCGUUAUAUUUUUUGAGAGUUCAUAUCGAUAAAAUUGUUUGCGACCUCGAUGUUGAAUUAAAACAGCUUUUUAGGGCAGUAUUUAAGUUAGUUAGUCUGUUCGACUAUUAAAGUUUUACAUGAUUUGAGUCAAAACCGGCGAAA
rnacentral:rRNA from 1 species